AUAUUCAGCAGCUGGAUAAACACUGAUAAGGUUAAUAUAAGGUAGGAAUGUAAUGUCAGCAGAUGAAGUCUAGUCAGCUGCCAGCUUGACAAGCCAGCCUAACAGAUGUCCAGCUGGAGGAGUAGUUAGCUUUCCAGAUUUAUCACUUCUCUAUAAAUAGGCUGGUUAGCUGGUGCAAUAAGGAAUUUACUUCAGAAUAAUGAAACCAGUUAAUUUCUUUCUUCUUUCAUCUUCAACUUCUUCUAGCUUCUGAUUUUGACAUGUAAUACAUUCAGCAGCUAGCUAGUAAGCAUCUCAAAUCUGAUGCCUCAUUGUUAACCUCACAAACUCAACAUUUUACUACUUAUAGCAUUAUCUGCUGAGAUAAAACUAAACUUGUACUUGCCUGGAUGCACAGAUAGACACACACUCAUGCACUAUCAAGAGAACGGUAUGAGAGAAGAGAAACUGGGAAUAAUUUUUAUUUUUUUUUCAUUCCUUCUCUAAAUGAAUUUCUAGAGAACACCAAGAAAAGUAAACUAAAACAUUACAUACUAAUUGGAAUGAGACCUGGUGAUCCAUCAAAAUUUUUCUAUGAUAGAGAGGGCGGCCUUUUUCUUUUCCCCUUGGUUGGAGAGAGGGGUGUUGCUAAGGGUGUCAAUAAUAUCAAUAUGAAUCAAUACAGAACUCCAGAUUUUAUACUAUGCUUCCAAACAUUAAGAGGACCUGUAAUGUGAUUGGUUUACAUACAUAUAUUCAUGCUUCCGUAUCAGAAGACUAGUAAUCCUAAAGUAGCAUUUCUGCUUACAAAUACUUUAAGGUGUUAAUGUGUUGGAAUGGGAAGUUGGGAACCAUCAGGUUAACAUACAUGUUUAUUUUUCUAUUUCUCAUCUUUUGGAUUAUGCCUAUUGAAGCCAACGGAUACACUUAAACAGGUAAUAUUGUAGAAAUAAUUUUU